rnacentral:rRNA from 1 species
CAUCAGAACUCCGAAGUUAAGCGUGCUUUGGGCGAGAGUAGUACUUAGGAUGGGUGACCCCCUGGNAAGUCCUCGUGUUGCACUCCU